rnacentral:ncRNA from 1 species
UGUGGUUCGCAACCAUCCCACAUAAAAAAACUAG